CAACAGGGAUUGCCUCAGUAACGGCGAGUGAAGCGGCAACAGCUCAAAUUUGAAAUCUGGCUCUUUCAGGGUCCGAGUUGUAAUUUGCAGAAGAUGCUUUGGGUGAGGCACCGGUCCAAGUUCCUUGGAACAGGACGUCAUAGAGGGUGAGAAUCCCGUACGUGAUUGGUACCUUUGCUCGUGUAAAGCUCUUUCGACGAGUCGAGUUGUUUGGGAAUGCAGCUCAAAAUGGGUGGUAAAUUUCAUCUAAAGCUAAAUAUUGGCCAGAGACCGAUAGCGCACAAGUAGAGUGAUCGAAAGAUGAAAAGCACUUUGGAAAGAGAGUUAAACAGUACGUGAAAUUGUUGAAAGGGAAGCGCUUGCAACCAGACUUGGGCGUCGUUGAUCAUCCGGGGCUCGCCCCGGUGCACUCGGCGGCGCGCAGGCCAGCAUCGGUUUCGGUGGGCGGAUAAAGGCCUUGGGAAUGUGGCUCUUCGGAGUGUUAUAGCCCUCGGUGCAAUGCGCCCUAUCGAGACCGAGGACCGCGCUUCGGCUAGGAUGCUGGCGUAAUGGUUGUAAGCGACCCGUCUUGAAACACGGACCAAGGAGUCUAACAUCUAUGCGAGUGUUUGGGUGUCAAACCCAUACGCGAAAUGAAAGUGAACGGAGGUGAGAACCCUUUAGGGUGCAUCAUCGACCGAUCCUGAUGUCUUCGGAUGGAUUUGAGUAAGAGCAUAGCUGUUGGGACCCGAAAGAUGGUGAACUAUGCCUGAAUAGGGUGAAGCCAGAGGAAACUCUGGUGGAGGCUCGCAGCGGUUCUGACGUGCAAAUCGAUCGUCAAAUUUGGGUAUAGGGGCGAAAGACUAAUCG
rnacentral:rRNA from 1 species